GAUGAACGCUGGCGGCGUGCCUAAUACAUGCAAGUCGAGCGAACGGACGAGAAGCUUGCUUCUCUGAUGUUAGCGGCGGACGGGUGAGUCACACGUGGAUAACCUACCUAUCAGACUGGGAUAACUUCAGGAAACCGUAGCUAAUACCGGAUAAUAUUUUGAACCGCAUGGUUCAAAAGUGAAAGACGGUCUUGCUGUCACUUAUAGAUGGAUCCGCGCUGCAUUAGCUAGUUGGUAAGGUAACGGCUUACCAAGGCAACGAUGCAUAGCCGACCUGAGAGGGGGGUCGGCCACACUGGAACUGAGACACGGGCCAGACUCCUACGGGAGGCAGCAGUAGGGAAUCUUCCGCAAUGGGCGAAAGCCUGACGGAGCAACGCCGCGUGAGUGAUGAAGGUCUUCGGAUCGUAAAACUCUGUUAUUAGGGAAGAACAUAUGUGUAAGUAACUGUGCACAUCUUGACGGUACCUAAUCAGAAAGCCACGGCUAACUACGUG
rnacentral:rRNA from 1 species